AUGAAAUGCCUCAACCGUUUUUUAUUUUAGCCUAAUUUCUAAUUGAGAGCCCCUUUUAUACCAGAUUUGGGACGUUUGGAAAGGACUCGGGCUGAACUCCAAGACCCUGCAGAUUCAGUGCUUUUGUUGGAGGUUCAAGCAGAUCUUCGAAAGAAAGAGAAGAAGCUGAGAGACAUCUUGAGGAGUGGAAGCUGCAUGUUAAAGAGGUUCCAAAAGUGUCAAGAAGACGGCAUAGAUCACCAUUUCUUCUUCUCUCAAGUCGACAUGAAAUUAGUGUCGAGGGUCUUAAACAUGUCUAGGAUUACAUCCGACCAACUAGUUUGGUGUCGCAGUAAAUUAAGUCAGAUUGGUUUUGUGAACAAAAAGAUGCAUGUAGAACCAUCCUUCUUGCUUUUUCCAUGUUGACAGCAUUAGCUUUGUCACGGCACACAUGUACAUAAUAGAUAUUAGAUAGAGAUCUCAAAGUAACAAGUUUCGAAAAUUUUGGCUA